rnacentral:misc_RNA from 1 species
CCGCACGCGCGCGUGUCUCACACGUUGUUUGCUCCGCCGCUUUUCGCUUCUUUUCGGCUUCUUCCCUCUAGACUGUUUCCUUGGCGCCGUAGUUUUUCUACUGCUGUUAUUAUGAGGGCACCCAAGCGUCCCCCGUGUCCCUCCGCCAUACACACACACACACACACAGAGACACACUCACACGGUACACGGCAGUGCUAACAAAGGUGCCGUCGCCUCCUUUAUCAUUUUAUUAUUAUUAUCAAAUCCUUGCUUAACCCCUGUCCCCAUCCCAGCCUAUAGAGCCCCAUACACGAGCACCUCUGCACCGGUACGUGUAAGCGUAAACACACAUACACACACACACACACACAUCGAGCAGCUUCGGACAUCUACGCUGUCUUCUUGUUUCUCCUUUUCUGUUUUGCGGGACCCUCCCCACGCGCGUUUGUGCCUGUCUUUGUGCUUCUCUUUCUCCUCGGUAUUCACCACCUCUGAGGCUGCACACCUCACGUAAGCACGCACGCUCACUUCAGGGGUGUACAGAAGCAGCGGGUAGCAACAAAGAGCUCUAGGAAGCAGCUGCGUACCGAUAGGGCUGGUGGGGAUGAGCUCAUCUCGCGCUCGACUGCGAGCACAGCCGCUGCGCCAGCAGCAGCAACCCGUGUUGCAUCGCAGCGAUUCCUCUCCGCAGUCAACGGUGAGCGGCACUUUGCGAGGCACCUCCUCCAGCGUGAGGUUCGAGGACACCAGCAGGGAUCGCCGUUCCUCAAAAAGUGCUGCUGUCAGGGCAGAGCAGCGCUCAACGGUGUUACAGACGGCCGGCGGCCGGCGUGCGGAGAACACACCUUUGGUCUCCUUGCGUGGCUCACGUGAGAAGAGGGUAAACUUCAUGGAGACCGAAAAGGAACUCGCGACAGCAUCCUCCUCGCCGCUCUCCCUAGCGCACGAGCUCGCCGAGACGCAGCGCGAGUUGGAGCGACUUCGGAUGCAGCUGAGAAACUCCAGCGAACACGAACAGCAGACGGAAGAGUAUGUGUCGGGGUUAGAGGCCACUGUGGAGGCCCAGCGACACGACAAUCUUCUGCUGCGCCAUCAUCUAGCUAACCGGCAGCUCUUGGCGGAGGUGUUAGAAGAGGAGUACCGAGAUCUUGUGGAAGCACAGCAGCAGAUGCACCUGCAGCAACACCCCAUCGCCUGCCCGCAGCCGCUUAUCACACAUGCGUCCACAGGCACUAUGACGGUGGCGUCGCCAGAGAACGCCUUUGGAGAUGGCAUCGCGCAACCUUCUUCCCUUUCUGCCUUCUGCACACAGCUGCCUGAUCGACAGAGCAACUUUGCGGGUCCCUCUCCGCCGCUCUCUCCGACGCAGUCGAUGCCGACAUCAUAUAACCACGUCUACGGAGCAGCUGGAGGGCCACAUAUGCAUGAGUUGCCACUGCAUUCGCCGACGGUGACCGCUCUCCGCGACCGGUGGGCACAGAUGCAGAUAGCGCACGAGGCGUUGCCGCACGGGUAUGCGGAUCAGCAAGAGGCACUUCAGCGUCUCCCUUUUCUGCAGCAGCAACGCAAUAAUGGCGCCAACCCCACAUCUAUUCCCAUUGGUGGUACUACCGAUAAUCGCUUCACGUCACCACCGCAGCACAUCUCCGUCAGCGAAGAGACCCUUUUCUCCAGCUCAACGACGUCAUCUGCCCCCCACAGCGCAUGCACCAUCACAGACACAGCCGGCACAUCACAGCAGGCGGCCGCUACGAAGCACCGACCCCGAUCCCUUGGAAUCCGCUCCCGUGAAACAGAACAUGCCAUCCCCAACGCCCUCGAUACCCCAAACAGCGUCCACCAAAGCUUAGUCCGCGGGCACCCACACCGCGACGCUUCCCCGAGCGCCGCCAGCGAAGCUGGGCCACUACUCGAACAUCGCCACUGUGAGGAACUCUUUGCCGAUCAGCAGCGCUGCGGACACGUUGCCCUAAAGGCCCUACAAGACCAGAUUGCAGAGCAGGAGGCAGAGGUGGCUGACCUGCGCAGCCGUGUAACGGAGCAGGAGGCGGAGGUGGUUGCGCUCCGCCAGCUGCUGGCUGAGGCACAGCGCGAGGCACAGGCCGCCGGCGCAAGACAGCGCGACAGUGGCGCCGCUGUGCAGGCGCUGCGCGACCAGAUGGCGGAGCAGGAGGCGGAGGUGGUUGCGCUCCGCCAGCUGCUGGCUGAGGCACAGCGCGAGGCACAGACCGCCGGCGCAAGACAGCGCGACAGUGGCGCCGCUGUGCAGGCGCUGCGCGACCAGAUGGCGGAGCAGGAGGCGGAGGUGGUUGCGCUCCGCCAGCUGCUGGCUGAGGCGCAGCGCGAGGCACAGGCCGCCGGCCCAAGACAGUGCGACAGUGGCGCCGCUGUGCAGGCGCUGCGCGACCAGAUGGCGGAGCAGGAGGCGGAGGUGGUUGCGCUCCGCCAGCUGCUGGCUGAGGCGCAGCGCGAGGCACAGACCGCCGGCGCAAGACAGCGCGACAGUGGCGCCGCUGUGCAGGCGCUGCGCGACCAGAUGGCGGAGCAGGAGGCGGAGAUGGUUGCGCUCCGCCAGCUGCUGGCUGAGGCGCAGCGCGAGGCACAGGCCGCCGGCCCAAGACAGCGCGACAGUGGCGCCGCUGUGCAGGCGCUGCGCGACCAGAUGGCGGAGCAGGAGGCGGAGAUGGUUGCGCUCCGCCAGCUGCUGGCUGAGGCACAGCGCGAGGCACAGGCCGCCGGCCCAAGACAGCGCGACAGUGGCGCCGCUGUGCAGGCGCUGCGCGACCAGAUGGCGGAGCAGGAGGCGGAGAUGGUUGCGCUCCGCCAGCUGCUGGCUGAGGCGCAGCGCGAGGCACAGACCGCCGGCGCAAGACAGCGCGACAGUGGCGCCGCUGUGCAGGCGCUGCGCGACCAGAUGGCGGAGCAGGAGGCGGAGAUGGUUGCGCUCCGCCAGCUGCUGGCUGAGGCACAGCGCGAGGCACAGGCCGCCGGCCCAAGACAGCGCGACAGUGGCGCCGCUGUGCAGGCGCUGCGCGACCAGAUGGCGGAGCAGGAGGCGGAGAUGGUUGCGCUCCGCCAGCUGCUGGCUGAGGCACAGCGCGAGGCACAGGCCGCCGGCCCAAGACAGCGCGACAGUGGCGCCGCUGUGCAGGCGCUGCGCGACCAGAUGGCGGAGCAGGAGGCGGAGAUGGUUGCGCUCCGCCAGCUGCUGGCUGAGGCACAGCGCGAGGCACAGGCCGCCGGCCCAAGACAGCGCGACAGUGGCGCCGCUGUGCAGGCGCUGCGCGACCAGAUGGCGGAGCAGGAGGCGGAGAUGGUUGCGCUCCGCCAGCUGCUGGCUGAGGCACAGCGCGAGGCACAGGCCGCCGGCCCAAGACAGCGCGACAGUGGCGCCGCUGUGCAGGCGCUGCGCGACCAGAUGGCGGAGCAGGAGGCGGAGGUGGUUGCGCUCCGCCAGCUGCUGGCUGAGGCACAGCGCGAGGCACAGACCGCCGGCGCAAGACAGCGCGACAGUGGCGCCGCUGUGCAGGCGCUGCGCGACCAGAUGGCGGAGCAGGAGGCGGAGAUGGUUGCGCUCCGCCAGCUGCUGGCUGAGACGCAGCGCGAGGCACAGGCCGCCGGCCCAAGACAGCGCGACAGUGGCGCCGCUGUGCAGGCGCUGCGCGACCAGAUGGCGGAGCAGGAGGCGGAGGUGGUUGCGCUCCGCCAGCUGCUGGCUGAGGCACAGCGCGAGGCACAGGCCGCCGGCCCAAGACAGUGCGACAGUGGCGCCGCUGUGCAGGCGCUGCGCGACCAGAUGGCGGAGCAGGAGGCGGAGAUGGUUGCGCUCCGCCAGCUGCUGGCUGAGGCACAGCGCGAGGCACAGGCCGCCGGCCCAAGACAGCGCGACAGUGGCGCCGCUGUGCAGGCGCUGCGCGACCAGAUGGCGGAGCAGGAGGCGGAGGUGGUUGCGCUCCGCCAGCUGCUGGCUGAGGCGCAGCGCGAGGCACAGGCCGCCGGCCCAAGACAGUGCGACAGUGGCGCCGCUGUGCAGGCGCUGCGCGACCAGAUGGCGGAGCAGGAGGCGGAGGUGGUUGCGCUCCGCCAGCUGCUGGCUGAGGCACAGCGCGAGGCACAGGCCGCCGGCGCAAGACAGCGCGACAGUGGCGCCGCUGUGCAGGCGCUGCGCGACCAGAUGGCGGAGCAGGAGGCGGAGAUGGUUGCGCUCCGCCAGCUGCUGGCUGAGGCACAGCGCGAGGCACAGGCCGCCGGCCCAAGACAGCGCGACAGUGGCGCCGCUGUGCAGGCGCUGCGCGACCAGAUGGCGGAGCAGGAGGCGGAGAUGGUUGCGCUCCGCCAGCUGCUGGCUGAGGCGCAGCGCGAGGCACAGACCGCCGGCGCAAGACAGCGCGGUGGUGUCAUUGUGAAAGUGCCCGUGGGACAGGAGGAGGGGGUGCGGUUGGCCGGUGGGUCUGCGGUGGUUGUUCAGGUGGACGGGGGCGCUGGACGCCGUGUUGUGAUAGACACUCUGCGCGAAGGGCCGGAGGGGAAAGGCGAUCCGUUGCGCUGGUAUCGCGAUCGGGGGUCGGUGGAGGGUGCUGCUGCGGAUGAUGAACGUGGGGUUUCUAGCACUGGUGAUGACGAGGACCGGAAGUUAGCGGGUGCUGUUGAUCGGGGGCGCAUCCUGCCCGAGACGGAGGAGCUGCGCAGCGCGCUGGCGGAGUGCAGAGAGAAGCUCACGCUACUGGAAGCUGAGUUGAUGGCUGCCAAGGAAGCUGUGGAGGAGCUGCGGUGGUACGAUGAACGGCGCGACAACUGCGUCGAGGGAAAGCCAUUGCGCCAGACGUACGUGCGGCGCAGUAUGGAGGGCGAGGAGUGGGCAUUGGUGGCGAAUGCCUGCGAGGAGGAACUGAUUUGGAGGCUUCGUGUGGACUGCAGCCGCGCUUGCCAUGUAAACGUGGACUGCGUACGGCGUGUCGAAUAUGUUCUCGGUAGUCUGCACGCUGAGUUUUGUGUGGAGCACAACGCGGACGUGGAGGGCAGUGAGUUGAAGGACCGUGUCGCUGAGUAUCCGUUUCCAGCGACAUGGGCACUCUUCCGGCGAAUCGUUGAGGGACAUACAGUGCCAGGGCCUAUGCAAUGGGCAGUUCCGAGCCGAGCCGAGGAGAAGCUCUUGGCGGAGGAGGCUCUGGCACGUAUUCUCGCGCAGCUGGAGGAGGCGUGUGCCCGCCAGGCAUUCACGUCCGAUUGGUCAGAGCAAAGAACCGAGUUGUUGCGCGCUGCCAAACUAGCACUGGCGGAAGUCGUGGCCGCAUCACGGCGAGAGUGCACUGACAGCUUAGAGCGGCUGGAGGAGCUAGCGGCGUUGUUGUUGGAGGCCCGUGAGAGUGAGCGCGAGUUGCGGGACCGCUUGUUUGCGGCUGAGGAGGACAUGUACGAGCUGCGCCGCCAGCACGACGACGAUCGUGACGGCUUGGUGAGCGCCGAAGCAGAAGCGCGCCGCUCACUAGAUCUGUACGCGGCUCGUGUUGCCGCCCAAGACGAGGCGAUGCGGGUGCAGGUCGAACAGAUCGUCGACUUGCAGGAGGAAGUGCAAGCACUGACAUCUGUUUUGUCCGAUAAAAACGCCGAUCUGGCUAAUGCUCAUGCGCAAGCCGCGGCGCUGUCGAGACAGGUUGACGAGACGGCAGCAGCCUAUGCAGACACGCUGGAGAAGUUGGAAAAGUCCGUGGAGAUGCUAGAUGCGUCGCGCACAAACGAACUGGUCUUAUCGCAAACACUUUACGAGGCAGAGUAUCGGUGCACCCAGUUGCACAAGGCCAUCGAGAUGGACGCCGCGGCGCAUCGUUUUGAGCUAGUUAGCGCAACGGCAGAGCGGGACCGCUUCAAGGAGGGAAUGGAGGUGUUUCGCGAGUUGCUGCCGAGCCUGCUGGCGGCAGCACAGCCCCAGCCCCGAAAGGACAGCGGCGAUGCGGGGGAAGGGGUGGACGAGCGCAGCAGCACGUCUGCGCUCGACGCAGCCUUCUCGGGAGAGGGAUACGCGGUAGCUCAGGGGUUACGCGAGGUGUUGCUGCACCAUCUUGGCUGCGUGGAGCAACUUCGCCGCGACAAGGAAGGCUUGGCCGACGAGCUCGAUGAGGCGGAGAAGGCGCGUGGCGGCUACAUGGCUGCCCUUGAGGAUGCACUGCGGUCGCUAGUGGAGGAGCGCGAACUGCGAAUGCGAGCGCACGAGUCGCAGCUGCAGUACUCUGAGCAGAUGAUGCGAGAGCUGACCAUGAUGCGGAAUGCUGAGGAGGACGAGAUGGUCGAUGACAAGGCAGACAUGGAGGUGAACAGUAACUAUGGCCUGCCCAGCACAUGCAGCAGCAGCAGCCCCGCAGUCUAAACGCCACUGUAACGGCGAAUCGAUAGUGAGGGGAGAAAGGAAACGGGCGAGGUGGAGUUCAGUGUGGACGGAGAAGGUGGGGCUAUACAAGUGCGAGGGUCUUUGCUGUGAUUGCAUGGUCUGCUUCCCUACUCCCGCUCCCCGCCGUGGGUACGCUUCUCGAAAAGCAUAUGCGCCACAUCAAGGGUACGCUGUUGUUUCUGCGCCACCCCGCUCCUCCUCCUCUGUCCAGCAAGCACGUCUUUCUCUGCGUGUGUCGGUCUACCUUUGAUCCCCUCGCGUGCUUGUUUCGGUCUUUGCGCUUGCGCUUGUGCACCGCAUUGUGGCCUCAUUCUUUUUCCUUCUCUUCUUUCCGUGACGGCACGCAUGUUCUCGUUUCCUCCUUGGGCGUCCGUGUUGCGUGCGCGCGCAUCAUGGUCGACGUACGCGCCAACAUUUUUUUUUUCGUUUAGAUUGCGUGUGAGCAUCUCUUUCAAUCGUUGCGACGUGGCCACUCUUGUGUGUUUGCCCGUUUUUUGCAAGGGGCUGUCUGCGCUGUGGCGGGGCACCGCUCAGCGAACGCCAUUGUACAUGCAGGCCGACAUCACCAAGCUCGCACAGCUGGCGCUGGGGCUCGAAGGCGGAAGCGAAAACCGUACGAGGAAAGACAAGGUGCGCAACGCGGCGCCUUCAAGUGGCCGGACGACCACACAAUCGCUCUGCACACGCCAAG